rnacentral:rRNA from 1 species
GACGAACGCUGGCGGCGUGCUUAACACAUGCAAGUCGAACGGAAUCCAUCCAGUGGCAACACUGGGGAAGAUUUAGUGGCGAACGGGUGCGUAACACGUGAGCAACCUACCCCAAUGUCAGGAAUAACACCGGGAAACCGGUGCUAAUACCAGAUGACCUCAUUUAGUCGCAUGGCUUGAUGAGGAAAGAUUUAUCGCUUUGGGAGGGGCUCGCGGCCUAUCAGCUUGUUGGUGAGGUAACGGCUCACCAAGGCUUCGACGGGUAGCUGGUCUGAGAGGACGAUCAGCCACACUGGGACUGAGACACGGCCCAGACUCCUACGGGAGGCAGCAGUGGGGAAUCUUGCGCAAUGGGCGAAAGCCUGACGCAGCAACGCCGCGUGGGGGAUGAAGGUCUUCGGGUCGUAAACCCCUUUCAGCAGGGACGAAAUUGACGGUACCUGCAGAAGAAGCCCCGGCCAACUACGUGCCAGCAGCCGCGGUAAUACGUAGGGGGCUAGCGUUGUCCGGAAUUAUUGGGCGUAAAGAGCUCGUAGGCGGCUUGGCAAGUCGAAUGUUAAACCUCCAGGCUUAACCUGGGAGAUGCCAUUCGAUACUGCCAUGGCUAGAGUCCGGUAGGGGACCACGGAAUUCCUGGUGUAGCGGUGAAAUGCGCAGAUAUCAGAAGAACACCAGCGGCGAAAGCGGUGGUCUGGGCCGGUACUGACGCUGAGGAGCGAAAGCGUGGGGAGCAAACAGGAUUAGAUACCCUGGUAGUCCACGCCGUAAACGUUGGGCACUAGGUGUGGGGUCUUAUCGACGGACCCCCGUGCCGUAGCUAACGCAUUAAGUGCCCCGCCUGGGGAGUACGGCCGCAAGGCUAAAACUCAAAAGGAAUUGACGGGGGCCCGCACAAGCGGCGGAGCAUGUGGCUUAAUUCGAUGCAACGCGAAGAACCUUACCUAGGUUUGACAUGUAGAGAAAAGCCGUAGAGAUACGGUGUCCUUCGGGGCGGUACACAGGUGGUGCAUGGUUGUCGUCAGCUCGUGUCGUGAGAUGUUGGGUUAAGUCCCGCAACGAGCGCAACCCUUGUCCUAUGUUGCCAGCGGGUAAUGCCGGGGACUCGUAGGAGACUGCCGGGGUCAACUCGGAGGAAGGUGGGGAUGACGUCAAAUCAUCAUGGUCCUUACGUCUAGGGCUACACACGUGCUACAAUGGCCGGUACAGAGGGCUGCAAGCCAGCGAUGGCAAGCCAAUCCCAGAAAGCCGGUCUCAGUGCGGAUUGCAGGCUGCAACUCGCCUGCAUGAAGCUGGAAUCGCUAGUAAUCGUGGAUCAGCUACGCCACGGUGAAUACGUUCCCGGGCCUUGUACACACCGCCCGUCACGCCAUGGAAGUUGUGAGCGCCCGAAGUCCGUGCCGGAACCCGCAAGGGACCAAGCGGCCGAAGGCGAGCGCAAUGACUGGGGCGAAGUCGUAACAAGGUAGCCGUAGGGGAACC